rnacentral:rRNA from 1 species
UGCCUACACAUGCAAGUCGAACGGAAACGAUGGGUAGCUUGCUCCCAGGCGUCGAGUGGCGGACGGGUGAGUAAUACUUAGGAAUCUGCCCAUUAGUGGGGGACAACUAGAAGAAAUUCUAGCUAAUACCGCAUACGCCCUACGGGGGAAAGCGGGGGAUCUUCGGACCUCGCGCUAAUGGAUGAGCCUAAGUCGGAUUAGCUUGUUGGUGAGGUAAAAGCUCACCAAGGCGACGAUCCGUAGCUGGUCUGAGAGGACGAUCAGCCACACUGGGACUGAGACACGGCNCAGACUCAUACGGGAGGCAGCAGUGGGGAAUAUUGGACAAUGGGCGAAAGCCUGAUCCAGCAAUGCCGCGUGUGUGAAGAAGGCCUGCGGGUUGUAAAGCACUUUCAGUAGAGAAGAAAAGCCUACGGUUAAUAACCGUGAGUCUUGACGUAACCUACAGAAGAAGCACCGGCUAACUCCGUGCCAGCAGCCGCGGUAAUACGGAGGGUGCAAGCGUUAAUCGGAAUUACUGGGCGUAAAGCGCGCGUAGGCGGCUUUGUAAGUCGGAUGUGAA